UACGAAGGGUGCAAGCGUUGCUCGGAAUUAUUGGGCGUAAAGGGCAGGUAGGUGGUCUUGUUUGUCUAAGGUGAAAUCCCCGAGCUUAACUUGGGAACUGCCUUGGAAACGGCGAGACUGGAGUACUGGAGAGGGUCGUAGAAUUCUCGGUGUAGCGGUAAAAUGCGUAGAUAUCGAGAGGAAUACCAGAGGCGAAGGCGGCGACCUGGACAGUAACUGACACUCAACUGCGAAAGCGUGGGGAGCAAACAGG
rnacentral:rRNA from 1 species